GCGGGUUUAGCUCAGUUGGUUAGAGCGUCGGGUUGUGGUUCCGAAGGCCGAGAGUUCAAUUCUCUUAACUCGCCCCA
rnacentral:tRNA from 1 species